CGAUAAGUAAUGUGAAUUGCAGAAUUCAGUGAAUCAUCGAAUCUUUGAACGCACCUUGCGCCCAUUGGUAUUCCGAUGGGCAUGCCUGUUUGAGUGUCUUGAAAUCAUCAAGCCCGUUCGGUUUCACCGCCGAGCGGGGUUGGACUUGGGGGCUUGCCGCUUCGCCGCGGCUCCCCUUAAAAUGCAUCGGUUUCGGGUCUCUGUGGGAGUCACCCCUUGGGCGUUGUAUAACCCUCGCUGUCUGGGAACUCCACGCGACGUCCGCGUCGUUGAAGGGCCUUGAAGAAACCUCGACCUGCUGUAGAGUGGCGGUCAAUGUUAAAUCGAGAUCUGACCUCAAAUCAGGUAGGACUACCCGCUGAACUUAA
rnacentral:rRNA from 1 species